UGACAUAUAACACAAUGGUAAGUGUAUAAUAUUACGGAUAUUAAAAUGCGAGUUCGAUUCUUGCUAUGUCAU
rnacentral:tRNA from 1 species